rnacentral:rRNA from 1 species
CCUACGGGAGGCAGCAGUGGGGGAUAUUGCACAAUGGGGGAAACCCUGAUGCAGCGACGCCGCGUGGGGGAAGACGGUCCUCUGGAUUGUAAACCACUGUCCCCAGGGACGAAGAUGACGGUACCUGACUAAGAAGCCCCGGCUAACUACGUGCCAGCAGCCGCGGUAAUACGUAGGGGGCAAGCGUUAUCCGGAUUUACUGGGUUUAAAGGGAGCGUAGACGGCUUGGCAAGCCAGAUGUGAAAGUCUGGGGCUCAACCCCAGGACUGCAUUUGGAACUGUCAUGCUAGAGUGUCGGAGAGGCAGGCGGAAUUCCUAGUGUAGCGGUGAAAUGCGUAGAUAUUAGGAGGAACACCAGUGGCGAAGGCGGCCUGCUGGACGAUGACUGACGUUGAGGCUCGAAAGCGUGGGGAGCAAACAGGAUUAGAUACCCGUGUAGUC